UCCCCAGUAGCAUAGUUGGCCAAUGCACAGUGCUUAUAGUUUGAUGCGAAACUAUACUUCCGAGCCACGCUGCAGACGCGAGUUCGAGUCUCGCCUGGGGUA